CCUACGGGAGGCAGCAGUAGGGAAUAUUGGUCAAUGGGUGAGAGCCUGAACCAGCCAUGCCGCGUGCAGGAAGAAGGCCUUCUGGGUUGUAAACUGCUUUUAUCCGGGGAUAAAAACACUGUGCGCAGUGGAUUGAAGGUACCGGAGGAAUAAGCCACGGCUAACUACGUGCCAGCAGCCGCGGUAAUACGUAGGUGGCAAGCGUUGUCCGGAUUUAUUGGGUUUAAAGGGUGCGUAGGCGGCCUGUUAAGUCAGUGGUGAAAGACGGCAGCUCAACUGUCGAGGUGCCAUUGAUACUGACGGGCUAGAGUACUGAUGAGGUAGGCGGAAUGGACGGUGUAGCGGUGAAAUGCAUAGAUAUCGUCCAGAACACCGAUAGCGAAGGCAGCUUACUAAGGAGUAACUGACGCUGAGGCACGAAAGUGUGGGGAUCAAACAGGAUUAGAUACCCUUGUAGUC
rnacentral:rRNA from 1 species